GAAUACUGACUGGUAAUAUGGGAACCAUGAUUUCUCUGAAAAAAGGCUGAAUGACCACAGUGAAGUCCGGCCGGGUGUCGUAACGAUUGGACUCCACCAGUUCGUUCAGCAUCAGCUGUUCUCCAGUUUUUCCAGUGAGGUCGAGGUGGGCUUUGGUAAGAUGACACAAGGGCACAGAAAACUGCAAAAGGACAGAUGAUUGGUGGUCGUCAUGGUGACACAUGCUGUGAUACUCACUUGACUAGCCAGGCUGCAGCUGAAAGACACGUUUGACAAUGGCGAAGUGCGGCCGGCAGGUCGGAAGGCGCAUUGCUGACGUUUGGGUUAGGCCUCACCAGGUGCUGACUCGACUAUCAAAGUAGAAAGCAGCAUGGACAAAAAGUUCUUGUGAAAGCUGAGGUUGCAGGUUACACACUAAACUUCAUUCAAACCUGUUGCCCAUGAGGAGAACUUGAGGAAGGUGGCUACAACAAGCAGUGGAAUCAUCUUCAUCAAAAAUCCCCCCCCUUUUUUUUUUUUUUUUAAAUCCAAAAAUUAUUUUUAGCGUUCGUCUUUCCUGAAGUCCUUCUUCUGAGUCGACUCUAUCAGGCAGUAAGGUGCUAAAUGUCUAUUAUCAGUUGUACCAGACUAUAGUCGAUGAUAGGUAUCAUAAUUACGUCCAAAGGGGGUGGGCCUGAUUCUCUUGUUCAAAGGACAUCAUUGAAGUCAAAGAAUUAUUUUAAGACUCUUAAUAAAAUCAUCAAUGAUAAAAGUGCGACAAAAUCUUACUCCCAAAAUUAGAAACAGUUAUCUAUGUAAUGUCUACACAUCAAAUUUAGACUGCAUU